UCCCGGGUGAUGUAAUCGGCAGCAUUUCGGAUUUUGGUUCCGACCGUCCAGGUUCGAGUCCUGGCCCGGGAG
rnacentral:tRNA from 1 species